CGGACGGGUGAGUACGACGUGGAAACCUGCCGUAGUACGUGGGGGAACUUAACAACUUAGAAAUAGGUGCUAAUACCGCAUAAGCGCACAGCUUCGCAUGAAGCGGUGUGAAAAACUCUGGUGGUAUACGAUGGUUCCGCGUCUGAUUAGCUAGUUGGUGGGGUAAUGGCCUACCAAGGCAACGAUCAGUAGCCGGCCUGAGAGGGUGAACGGCCACAUUGGGACUGAGACACGGCCCAAACUCCUACGGGAGGCAGCAG
rnacentral:rRNA from 1 species